AACAGUGCAUGUAUUUAUUGUAUACUUUGUAUUAAAGAAAGUACACAACUUUUUUGCACUAAUACAUGUAAGCAAUGAUUUCAAAACCGUACCGACGGGUUGAACCGCAUGUCGUUUAAUAUGUUGGUCCGAUAUAACAAGAUAUGAUGAAAAUUAAUUUUUUUUUAUGAUUUUAUGAUUGAAUUGGUGAAUCACGAUCGUACAGACAGGUAUCAACCAUAUAACAAUUUACUAUAAAAAAAGAAAUUUUCACCGUUUCUAAAGAGAAAAGAGACGUCGACACCAUUACGCACAUUUCCUACCGUUAUUAUCGCUGCCAUAUGGACGACCACCACCACCAGGUGCUGUCAGAGCGGCUUCGCCAUUGAACGUUGCUAUGCUAUUAUGAAUUAACAAAUAUUUUAUUAGGCCUAAGUUUAUUUACAAUUUGAUAUCUAAAGUUGAAGCAACUUUUAACGAUGUAUAAUUUAUUAAAAUAAUAAUAAAAUUGAUCCUUUAUAUUUUAAUAUUUUGUCAAAUAUGUAUAAUUGUUGUGUUUUAACAACUUUGAUUUUAAGAUUAAAUUUUUUGUAGUACCGGUAUAAUCCGGUUUGUAUACUAACUUAUAUAGUAUGGUAUUUUAGUUAAAAAUGAUUAAAUUGUCUUGUUGAGUCUAGGAAAAUAUGAUAAAUUAGAGGGUGUGUUAAUAACUUAUAAAAUUAAAAUUUUUCUUUUAAAUUCCAAAACUCAACUAAAUAAAUAAACGAAAUAUUUACAAAUUCAUUUUCAUAUUUGAAAUCCAUACUAUUUCAAAUUUUUUGUUAUUUGAAACCACUUUCUCCUGAAUUACAAAAUCAAAUUACCUUCCAGUACCUUCCUCACUUUGCUCCAUAUAUCAUUCUUCCCUAUCAAUGUACUAAUGGUUAUGCACUGUGUAAGUUCUUGGUCUGAUUUUGUAGGUUUACUUCAAACCAAAUGUGGAAUACGCAUCAACAGAGCUAUCUUAUUCUGAGAGAUCAGUAAUUGGCAUCUGAGUUAAAACACCACAAA
rnacentral:lncRNA from 1 species